CUUCGGGAACAUUGAGACAGCGUGCAUGCAUGGCUGUCGUCAGCUCGGUGGGGUUUGGUUAAGUCCCGUAACGAGCGCAACCCUUGUCCUUAUUUACCAGCACGUUAUGGUGGGCACUCUAAGGAGACUGCCGGUGACAAACCGGAGGAAGGUGGGGAUGACGUCAAGUCAUCAUGGCCCUUACGGCCUGGGCUACACACGUGCUACAAUGGUCGGUACAGAGGGUCGCCAAGCCGCGAGGUGGAGCUAAUCUCACAAAACCGAUCGUAGUCCGGAUCGCAGUCUGCAACUCGACUGCGUGAAGUCGGAAUCGCUAGUAAUCGCGAAUCAGAAUGUCGCGGUGAAUACGUUCCCGGGUCUUGUACACACCGA
rnacentral:rRNA from 1 species